rnacentral:lncRNA from 1 species
GCGGUUGUGCAUCGUGUUUGUGGCACCCUCCAUGGAUCAUCUCUUGUGAGCUAUGCCUUCCUUGUGUAAAUUGUUAAACUUCAUGUGUCUCUCUCUUUGUCUCCAAUGUGAGUUUAUCUCAGGACUUCCCAAGUUGAUGUUGAAAGUUGUUUUUUCUGCAGGGGUUAGUCUGACAAAAUAUACCAAUGUCUACACAAGCAGUUUUUAGUUCAAUAACCAAACUAGACUCCAUGUCUAAUUAGAUUAAGGAAGGUUGUUUAACCUAAGCACCAUGCUUAAUUU